CUACGGGGGGCAGCAGUGGGGAAUAUUGCACAAUGGGGGAAACCCUGAUGCAGCCAUGCCGCGUGUGUGAAGAAGGCCUUCGGGUUGUAAAGCACUUUCAGCGAGGAGGAAAGGUUGGUAGCUAAUAACUGCCAGCUGUGACGUUACUCGCAGAAGAAGCACCGGCUAACUCCGUGCCAGCAGCCGCGGUAAUACGGAGGGUGCAAGCGUUAAUCGGAAUUACUGGGCGUAAAGCGCACGCAGGCGGUUGGAUAAGUUAGAUGUGAAAGCCCCGGGCUCAACCUGGGAAUUGCAUUUAAAACUGUCCAGCUAGAGUCUUGUAGAGGGGGGUAGAAUUCCAGGUGUAGCGGUGAAAUGCGUAGAGAUCUGGAGGAAUACCGGUGGCGAAGGCGGCCCCCUGGACAAAGACUGACGCUCAGGUGCGAAAGCGUGGGGAGCAAACAGGAUUAGAUACCCCGGUAGUC
rnacentral:rRNA from 1 species